rnacentral:misc_RNA from 1 species
GAAAUUUCGGGCCAACUGGCGGCAGUGUCAGUUGGACUCCGGUCCUUCGACGAACACCACCGAGCGUUUCCACCCUCAACCAACCUCUUGAUCGUCACGUGUCUACUCAUCAGGCUUCGGAAUGCCACUUUUUUGGAGCUUUCUCGCCAUCUCUCUCUUCUGUGCUCCGGAAAGAGGCUCAGCUGUUCGUGGUCCUGUAUUUGUGGAGGAGCCCCCUCCAUGGCUGGAUGUGUCGAAUUCUACAGGAGUAGUUCUGUCUUGCAAAGCUCACGGCACUCCAUCCCCAGUCAUACGUUGGCUUGACCAGUCUGACAAAGAAGUCACUCACCUACCACGAAUUAGGGAAAUUCUACAUAACGGCAGCUUGUAUCUGCCACCAUUUUCGGGAGAAAACUUCAGACCAGACGUACAUUCAACCAGUUAUCGCUGUCUGGCCACCAACUCAGUCGGAACAAUUGUAUCCAGAGAAUGUAAACUACGUCCAGAUCUCCAAGAGUCAUACCCACUUCAAGUGGAAGAGACAAUGACGCUGCGAGGCAACAUAGCGAUACUACGCUGUGGAGUGUCACCUUCUCACUCUCACAAGUACGCCCUCAGCUGGCUGAAGGAGGACUCCAUCCACGGCCGGACCACACUACACCCAGGCGGUCGGUUCUCCGUCACUUCGGCCGGCGCGCUGCACAUACGCAGCGUCUCCAUUGAGGACUCCUACGCGCGAUACUACUGUCAAGUCACCAACCGACUCACCGGCUCAAGAAGAGUCAGCCGGCCUGGCAAGAUUGUUGUUACAGAUUCCGACGGUAAUAUUCCACCGCGAAUUGAGUACUCAUUGCCAAGCGUUCACGCUCGAGUCGGCUCAACAACAGAGCUUGAGUGUGCUGCUCAAGGAUCCCCUCCUCCUUCUUAUAGGUGGUAUCGAAUAAUAGAUGAGAGCCUUCUUGAAGAAAUAAGACCUGGCUCUAUUCUAGUCCGGCCAUUAGAUUCUAUACUGCAAUUCACCAGGGUGAGAGUGGACGACUCAGGACGAUAUGUGUGUGUGGCUGCAAACAUCCUCGGUGAGGACAGGAGAGAAUUAUCAUUAGCUGUCAAAUCACCGUUGACUGUCCACAUCCAUCCUCAAUAUCAGGUUGUGGACGGAGGCUCAACAACGACCAUCAACUGCACAGUUGACGGCGGAGAUGGCGGCAGAACGGUUAUCGCCUGGCUCAAAGAUGGCCGCUCCGUAGUGGACAGCGGCCAGUUCCAAGUGCAAAACGAUGGCGGAGUUCUGCUGCUCAACAGUGUCUCCAAAUACGACAAGGGCAUGUAUCAGUGCCUGGCUAGGAAUGGAGAUGAGACUGCGCAGGCCAGUGCCGAACUUGUUCUUGAAGCUAUUCCACCAGAACUACACUCGACAUUCAUCGAGCAGACGAUUCAGCCAGGCAUAUCGGUGUCUCUGCACUGCGUGGCAUCCGGAACUCCGGUGCCACGAGUCAACUGGUUCCUGAACGGCGGACCUCUGCUGACCAGGGGCGGUUAUGUGUUCGGGAGCUACCUGGACUCCACCGGUGACCUCAUCAGUCAACUUAACAUCACUGUCACCAGAGUACAGCACGGCGGCUUGUACACCUGCACUGCCAAGAACACCCUUGGAUCGGUGUCACAUUCGGCCGCGCUCAAUGUCUACGGUCCACCCACAUCCAGAGCUCCUCUCAACCUGACAGUGGUUUCGGGCAAAGACGUUCACCUGCUGUGCCCUGUUGCCGGGUUUCCCGUAUCGGGCACAACGUGGCAACUGGGUCAAGACUCACUGCCGCUCUCCUUCCGUCAGCGGGUGUUCCUGAACGGCACGCUGCUCGUCGCAAACGUGGAUGUGGAGACAGACAAGGGAGAGUACCGCUGCACUGUUCGCAACCAGCAGGGCCAGGCUGCCAGUGGCAAGGUCUACCUCAACAUUAUGGAGCCUCCAGAAAUCCAACCAUUCCACUUCCCGGAGAAGCUACAAGAGGGCAAGCGAACUCAGCUGUCGUGCACGAUUGUGUCGGGCGACUUCCCGAUCGACAUAUCGUGGUACAAGGACUCGCGACCGUUGUCGCCUGAUUCGGACCUGCAGGAGCAGAACCACAACUUUGUGAGUGUGCUGCUGUUUCGCAAGCUGGCCGCACGACACGCCGGUCACUACACGUGUGUCGCGCGUAAUGCCGCCGCACAGACCAACUACACCGCAAAACUCGUCAUCAGAGUGGCUCCAAGCUGGAUAACAGAGCCUCAAGACAUGUCUGUACUAUUCCAGCACCCUGCAGCCAUCCACUGCCAGGCAACUGGAUUUCCAAAACCAAGAAUCACCUGGAUGAAAUUGAGAAGUGAAGACUCCAACGAUUUUGUUCAGGUUGAAGAGAUACUGGGGAUGAGAGUCUCAGCCAAUGGGACGCUCUUAAUUCGCUCAACUGAGCCAUCUCAUGAAGGCUCAUAUUCGUGUCAAGCUGCUAAUGGAGUUGGGUCUGUACUCAAGAAGAAUAUAUUCGUCAAUAUUAAUGUGCCAGCAUACUUCAAAGAACGGAUAGUCAACGAAAGCGGAGUGGCAGGAGAGGACCGCGUGCUAAUGUGUGAGGCGGAAGGUGACCGCCCCCUGCGGCUCACCUGGAGCUCCACGCCGCCCCUGCAGCUGCCUCCGGCUCACACCCGCCACACCGCCUCUGGCGCCGCCUCCGAGCUGCAUUUGCGCUCACUCUCGCGUCACGACGCCGGUGCCUAUUACUGUGCAGCCAGCAACCAGUUCGGCCAGGAUAGCAUGGUCAUACACCUGGCUGUAAGAGAGCCGCCAGAAGCGCCAACUAGAGUAGAAGUAGUAGAGGUCGGCAGCCGUUGGCUGAGCAUGCGAUGGGCCCCGCCCACCCCCGGCCUCAGCGCGCCAAUCACACAGUACGUCGUGCAGUUCCAGGAGGACUCGUCACUGCAGUGGGCCAACGUGACAGUGGGCGGCAACCUGCACUCCACCAAGCUCAAUGCACUCGUGCCUGCCACUGUCUACACGCUCAGGCUGAUAGCUGUGAACCAGGUUGGUGCUGGUCCGCCCAGUCAUACCACGCACGCUGUCACGCUGCAAGAAGUGCCAAGUAAAGCUCCAGAAGAUGUGAUAGCGGAGGCUAAUGCUCCUGAAUCACUCCUCAUCAAAUGGCGGCCGAUUCCGAUGCUGUCAAGCAAAGAGGAGAUCCUCGGCUUCCAGGUUUCGUACCGCGAGAUGACGAAGGGCGCGCCCGAGACGCGCACCGUUCGUGGCGCGCACAAGCAUGAGCUGCAACUGACUGGGCUGCGCAGCUAUGCGCGCUACGAGCUCACUGUGCGUGCCAUCAACCAGGUGGGGCCGGGUCCCGCCUCCGCCCCGCUAGUCGCCACUACUCUCGAGGGUGUUCCAGAGGAGGCGCCGCAGGAUGUACGCUGUGCAGCUCUCUCGUCGCAGAGUUUGCGCAUCCGGUGGGAACCCCCCUCCCCGGAGCACCACAAUGGUUUGCUGCAGGGAUACAAAGUUGUCUAUAAACUUGUCAACCCCAAUCAGGAUGGACCCUAUGACUCGGAGGUCAAAAAGACGACAAAUUUAGAAACGAAUUUGCAUAAUCUGUCGAAAUUCACCAACUACAGCAUCAGAGUACUGGCAUUCACCACCGGUGGUGAGGGCAUCCUGUCUUCACCGAUAUUCUGUAACACUGAGGAGGAUGUUCCAGGUACUCCGGAACAAGUGAAAGCCUUGAUAAUGACUUCGGAGAGUGUGUUGGUUACAUGGACCAGACCAUCCCAGCCGAAUGGUGUGAUACUGAGGUACAACGUCUACAUUCAAUUGCCAAAUAAGGAUGUGAUCAAUGAAAUAGUGUUUGGUGAUAGAGAGCAUUCCCAUGAAUGCAGGAAGCUGAAGGAAUUCAAUAGAUAUGAAUUCUGGGUGACAGCUUCCACCAGUGUGGGAGAGGGACAGCCCAGUGCAAAAGUGUCACAGACUCCUUUGUCAAGGGUUCCAGCAAGGAUAGCGUCGUUUUCGAGCAAAAUCGUUGGAAAGGCGGGAGGACAAAUCACGUUGGGCUGUCAGACGGUCGGCCUGCCUGCUCCCACUAGAACGUGGUGGGGUCCUACGGGUGCCACCCUUCCCACUGACCCUAGCAAACAACUAAUUUUGGCUGACAGGAGUCUCAAACUGGGGCCUCUGACGCUGAGCUUGGCUGGCAACUACUCGUGUCACGCUGAGAAUGUGUUCGGCAGAGACCACGUGGCCUACCAGGUGGUGGUGAUGGUCCCCCCUGUCCCGCCCAUCCUCGCCGUCACUGAAAGCACCACUAACUCCCUCUUUCUGCACUGGAAGGUGGUCAGUGAUGGUGGCAGUCCACUUACAGGUUACAUAUUGAGCUACAGGAAACAGAAUGAGGAAUGGCAGCAUUUACCUCUGGAACAGGAUCGCCGCUCUUACAAUUUGGACAAACUGCAGUGUGGAAGUGCCUACGAGAUUGAGCUGCAGGCGACCAACUCUGUGGGCAAUAGCAAACCCAGCGCCCCUGUCAGAGCAACCACUAAAGGAGAAGUUCCUGGAGUGGCCGAACAAGACGAUCUGAUAGCGGUGAACUCGACUUCGGCGAUGAUCUUCCUGGAGAGCUGGCCGGAGCGAGGCUGCCCAGUGCAGCACUUCCAGGUGUUCUACCGAGCUCACAGCCAGGCACACUGGCAGACGUUCGGAGGCGGUGCCAUGCGUCCUCACGAGGACAUGCAGUUGAGUCCUCACGAGGACAUCCAGCUGCGUCCUCACGAGGACAUCCAACUGGUUGACCUCACCCCGGCCACCAAGUAUCACCUGCAGGUGGUAGUCUUCUCCGACGCUGGCAGUGCCAGACAUGAGUAUGUUUUCGCCACGCGCUCUAGGUCUGGAGAAGUGAUUCCACUGGAACUGAUCCCAGAGGAGCCGACCCACUCACUGGUCAGCCUCAACAUAAUGGUGCCGGUUGUCUCUGGCGUCUUCUGUACAAUAGCUCUCACUUUGUGCGCCUGCGUCCUCUCAAGAAAAAGACAAUAUACUGGGUAUAAAGCAGCCGAAACAUCGAAUAGUAAAAGCAUAGCUGAGCUGGAAAACCAGAGGAACUUCGAUCAGCAGGGCCACCAUUCUCCGCAUUCACUGUCUCCGCCGUCUCAUAAAACUGAUUUGAGUCACAACCAGAGUGGUCGCAUCACAAACGACAACUCAGGUGACUAUGAAAUCAGUCCUUACGCAACAUUCAGCCUGCCUAACCAGGCGGCAGCUCAUUCGCUGCAGUUCCAGACGUUCAGCCAGCACGACUGCUACGAGGGAAGACCCAUGAAGGACUACCACUACGCCAGAGGUCGCUCCAAAUCCAGUUCCAGCAAAAUUGUACAAGAUGCGCUGAGUCUAGAGAUCUCGUGCAUCUCGACGCAGCAGACGCUUCCAGUGGGGCGGAAAGGCGGAGGCGGCGCCGCCUCCAGAAACAGCAGCACAGUCUUUAUGUCUGAUUCGGACAGCAGUGCGGGGGCGGGGACCGGGGGCGGAGCCCCUCACACUCACCAGCUGCCUUCCCAAUCCAUUGGACGCAGAAACACUGGUGCCUCUUCUAUGUAUGACCAAGACUCGAGUACAGAAUCAGCAGAAGCAUCGCCGGAAAUGAACAGAAAGCAUAGAUCUCGGAGAUUAGUCUCACCAAGGUAGCGCAAAUGUCGUGAAAGUGUGCCCCUGCACCCUCCCCAGGGCUUUUCGGACAGCAGGGAGUUGUCGGAGACUGAAUGCGACCAGAACCAAAACUGCGGAGGUGGACUGAGGAUUCUACGUCAUGAGCAACUUGAACAGCAGCUAUCCAACCUAGUAAAGAGGUACAGACAAGAGAGAGACCGUGAGAAGCAGGACUACACGAUACAUGUCUGAAACUCAGAAUAUAAGAAAUCGCCCAUUUGACAUAAAGAGAAAAGUUUUCAUAUCGGACAUGUAAUACGAUGCAUUUGUGUUCCUAUUUUCGAAUAACGAGGGUAUUUUUCAAAUGGCCUAUUGCUACGUGAUAAAAACAUGUAUACUUUCGUAUAAAAUUCGCUACUAACAUUCUAUCGAUGGUGUCCGGUUUCAAAUAACCUAAAUCUUAAUAGAUUUAAAUAUUGUGGAUCUUGAUCUUUAAUGCUAAACCUGUACUGAUAUCUGUGCUUUUACCAAUCAUUCCAUUAAAUGGCAGCUGUUGAAUUUUCCAACGAUUAUAUCUUCAUAGCAGUUAAGAACUGUUCAUGGUUAAACAAUGUUAUUGUGGAUGUUUCAAAAUCCUUUUUGGAUUAUCCCUUACAUGGAAUAUCUAUGCUCAUUAUUUUUCAAAGAAAUAAAUGUGUUAUAUUGUAAGAUUUAAUAAAAUUUAUAAUAUGUU